rnacentral:rRNA from 1 species
CGCGUAGGCGGUUGGGGUAGUCCGUGGUGAAAGCUCGUGGCUCAACUACGAGUCGGCCAUGGAUACUCCUCGACUUGAGCACUGUAGAGGCAGGUGGAAUUCCGGGUGUAGCGGUGGAAUGCGUAGAGAUCCGGAAGAACACCGGUGGCGAAGGCGGCCUGCUGGGCAGUAGCUGACGCUGAGGCGCGACAGCGUGGGGAGCAAACAGGAUUAGAUACCCUGGUAGUCCACGCCGUAAACGAUGGGCACUAGGUGCUUGGGGGAGCGACCCCUUGAGUGCCGGCGCUAACGCAUUAAGUGCCCCGCCUGGGGAGUACGGCCGCAAGGCUGAA